UCUCAAGAAAUAAAAGUCUGAGGCUGAGAGAGACUAUCGCCGGGUCUGUGAUGACUUGGAGCAUCUGAGGAGGGCACUUAAAGGGAGGAGAGAUUCUCCUCACCUUGAAACUCACCUUCGAAGGAGCCCUAAUUGGGGUCAUUCCAAGAGGGCCAGGACUUCCAAGGGGAUGAGCUAUGGAAAGAGAGCUCCUUGAGGAGAUGGGCAUUAUUCUUCCAAGGAAGUUCAGAUCUCCUCGGAAUCGCUCUCAAAAAUCCAGGAGAC
rnacentral:lncRNA from 1 species